ACACACACAGAGAGUAGCGAAGUAGCUAGUUUAGCUAGAAGCUGGUCCAUGCAUUUCAACCUCGUUCGUUGUAUUUAUUAUAUGCACAUGAUUGACAAGGAUAAUUGGUUGACUACCGAACCCCUUCUAUACAAAUGUUAUUGUACGUACAACUUGCAUUAGAUUGUUUCCUAAUUUACUGUAAAUACCUGCGAUAACACUUGCAAGGG
rnacentral:lncRNA from 1 species